rnacentral:lncRNA from 1 species
AAAAGUAUGACAAGAACCUGCUUGAUUCAUUGCCUGAGGUUUUCAAGCCCCAAGUUUUCUCCAAGAGAACACAAGAGUCAAUAUAUACAAGUGCCUUGAAGCUUUUUUGAGAGGAACCUCUUGGACCAGAAGACACGUGGUCCAAGAGGAACCUCUUCGAUCUUCCUUGAGCCAUGUAAGCGUGUUGGGAUGGAAGACACUGUAUGGUACCUUUAAAAGUACCCAAAGCGGACGAUCGAUGCCUCUUGGAUCCAUAAGAUGAGUGAAAGAGUAUAGAGACACAAUCAAAAUGGGGUUGAGCGACCGGAGGCACCCAAACAUGUUGAAUUCCCACAAACUCAUCUGGCACCAGAACACCUGGAGUGGUACCAAACUUCAGAUACCACAGCUACCCUGAUGAAGAAUCCUAUCAAAGCAUAAUGGAAAUGCGCCAAUUCCGCUUCAGGUAAGAUUUUUGUACCAUCUUCUACUUUUCUAUAGACUGGAUCUCAUUUAUGAGAUAGAUGCUUGGGCUGAGAGGUAUUGUAACUGCGCUGCUGCAGAGCCCCUAGCCUCUAUUAAACUUAUGACUAUCCCAGGGUUGAUCAUAUGAUUGAGAUAGGUAGAUUCAUUGCAUGCUGCAGAGCCCCUAUUAAACUUAUAACUAUCCAAGGGUUGAUCAUGUGAUUGAGAUAGGUAGGUUCAUUGCACCCGUGCCAUCCACCUCCUUAACCCUCUUGUGCACCAAAGCAAUGAAGACAAUGCCAUGUAAGAUUUGUGUCCAACCUUCAACCUUUUCGGACGGCAUCUCACUCAUGAAAUAGAUUUUGGACAGCCUUCCUGAGGUAAUGUAACCACAUUGCUGCAGAACCUCUCUGGGGUGAUCAUCAGAUUGAGAUAGGUAGGUUCAUU